rnacentral:rRNA from 1 species
AGUGAACGCUGGCGGUAGGCCUAACACAUGCAAGUCGAACGGCAGCACAGUAAGAGCUUGCUCUUACGGGUGGCGAGUGGCGGACGGGUGAGGAAUACAUCGGAAUCUACUUUUUCGUGGGGGAUAACGUAGGGAAACUUACGCUAAUACCGCAUACGACCUACGGGUGAAAGCAGGGGAUCUUCGGACCUUGCGCGAUUGAAUGAGCCGAUGUCGGAUUAGCUAGUUGGCGGGGUAAAGGCCCACCAAGGCGACGAUCCGUAGCUGGUCUGAGAGGAUGAUCAGCCACACCGGAACUGAGACACGGUCCAGACUCCUACGGGAGGCAGCAGUGGGGAAUAUUGGACAAUGGGCGCAAGCCUGAUCCAGCCAUACUGCGUGGGUGAAGAAGGCCUUCGGGUUGUAAAGCCCUUUUGUUGGGAAAGAAAAGCAGCAGGUUAAUACCCCGCUGUUCUGACGGUACCCAAAGAAUAAGCACCGGCUAACUUCGUG